CCUACGGGAUGCAGCAGUGGGGAAUAUUGCACAAUGGGCGCAAGCCUGAUGCAGCCAUGCCGCGUGUAUGAAGAAGGCCUUAGGGUUGUAAAGUACUUUCAGUUGGGAGGAAGGCGUUGAUGCUAAUAUCAUCAACGAUUGACGUUACCAACAGAAGAAGCACCGGCUAACUCCGUGCCAGCAGCCGCGGUAAUACGGAGGGUGCAAGCGUUAAUCGGAAUUACUGGGCGUAAAGCGCACGCAGGCGGUCGAUUAAGUCGGAUGUGAAAUCCCCGGGCUCAACCUGGGAACGGCAUCCGAAACUGGCAGGCUAGAGUCUUGUAGAGGGGGGUAGAAUUCCAGGUGUAGCGGUGAAAUGCGUAGAGAUCUGGAGGAAUACCGGUGGCGAAGGCGGCCCCCUGGACAAAGACUGACGCUCAGGUGCUAAAGCGUGGGGAGCAAACAGGAUUAGAUACCCUUGUAGUC
rnacentral:rRNA from 1 species